rnacentral:rRNA from 1 species
UACGGAGGGGCUAGCGUUGUUCGGAAUUACUGGGCGUAAGGCGCGCGUAGGCGGACCUGCAAGUCGGGGGUGAAAGCCCGAGGCUCAACCUCGGAACUGCCUUCGAUACUGCGGGUCUCGAGUCCGGGAGAGGUGAGUGGAAUUCCUAGUGUAGAGGUGAAAUUCGUAGAUAUUAGGAAGAACACCAGUGGCGAAGGCGGCUCACUGGCCCGGUACUGACGCUGAGGCGCGAAAGCGUGGGGAGCAAACAGGG